rnacentral:rRNA from 1 species
CCCCUACGGGAGGCAGCAGUGAGGAAUAUUGGACAAUGGGGGAAACCCUGAUCCAGCGACGCCGCGUGAGUGAAGAAGUAUUUCGGUAUGUAAAGCUCUAUCAGCAGGGAAGAAAAUGACGGUACCUGACUAAGAAGCCCCGGCUAACUACGUGCCAGCAGCCGCGGUAAUGGGG